GGUAGGUUGUAGAAAUUCCAACUCACUAUCUCUGAGAAUUACUAUAUAUUCCAUGGGGGUCACUGAAUUCUUUUUCUCUUCCUGGAAUUUGCGGCUUACAUUGCUAAUAUUUGAUCCUCGAUAGCAAUGCUCUUUUCCUUCCAUGUCGGUCAUGCCAAAAAAGCAUUGAGGGCGAGUCUGCACCAAUCCACCAUGCUCGAGUCUGCACCAAUCCAUCAUGCUUGAGUCAGGGGGAUCACCUACAGUGCGAUGGCCAAACCUAUCUUGCAGGGGAAUCAUGUACCGGCAUAAUAUAUUAUCCCAAAUGAUAUUUCAUUGACAAGCCACAUAUAAAUAGAAGUCAAAUUAGGCAUAUACUAUGUUGCACAGGUUAAUCUUAUCUCAGUGUUCCCUGGAUAUUUCUUUUUUGUAGCCUCUAUUGCAGUGUGCACCGCUGCAAGAAUGAAAUUAAUUUAUUCUAUAUAAAUGCUAUAAUAAGUAUUUCAGAACAUUUUUUCUGCUGUUGGAUUUAAUAUUCUAUUCCAUUUCCGAUGGAUAAAAAUGUUUGAGGCUACUUCCAUAUUUAUCUCUUGUUUCUUACGGUCUAGCGUGUUAGAAAAUUUUUCUUUCAGAUUUGCCUGUCCUGUUUGUGCACCAGGUACAAGGUCUCGCCUUGUUGAAGGCUAGUUCCGGUUCUUCUAUUUUCAUUUUCAUUUUGUUAAUGUACAUUUUCUACCUAAUAAGGACUUGAGGUGUCUCGUGGAUUGUAGCGCAUGGGGAGCCUCACGAUUGUUGUGGUUAUUUUUUACACAAAGUCAUUGUAGCACAAGUUGUAUGUACCCUCCGUUUCUUUUUACUCCGCAUAUUAGAUUUGGUCAAA